rnacentral:rRNA from 1 species
GAUGAACGCUGGCGGCGUGCUUAACACAUGCAAGUCGAACGGUGAAGCCAAGCUUGCUUGGUGGCUCAGUGGCGAACGGGUGAGUAACACGUGAGCAACCUGCCCUGGACUCUGGGAUAAGCGCUGGAAACGGCGUCUAAUACUGGAUAUGAGCCUCUUCCGCAUGGUGGGGGUUGGAAAGAUUUUUUGGUCUGGGAUGGGCUCGCGGCCUAUCAGCUUGUUGGUGAGGUAAUGGCUCACCAAGGCGUCGACGGGUAGCCGGCCUGAGAGGGUGACCGGCCACACUGGGACUGAGAAACGGCCCAGACUCCUACGGGAGGCAGCAGUGGGGAAUAUUGCACAAUGGGCGAAAGCCUGAUGCAGCAACGCCGCGUGAGGGAUGACGGCCUUCGGGUUGUAAACCUCUUUUAGCAGGGAAGAAGCGAAAGUGACGGUACCUGCAGAAAAAGCGCCGGCUAACUACGUG